GCCCCCGUAGCUCAGUGGUCAGAGCGCGGGACGCGUUGUUCUGUAGCUUUCCAACGGAGCAGCUUAGAAAUUAUCAACGCGCCCGAGGCCAGCGGUUCGAAUACGCUCGGGGGCA